GAUGAAGAACGUAGCGAAAUGCGAUAAGUAAUGCGAAUUGCAGAAUCCGUGAGUCAUCGAAUCUUUGAACGCACAUUGCGCCCCUUGGUUAUUCCGAAGGGCAUGCCUGUUCGAGCGUCAUUAAGUCCACUUAAGCCCUGCUUAGUGUUGGGAGACUGCUCCAGCGGUGCUACCCUGUAGCUACCCUGCAGCUCCUCAAAGACAGCGGCGGAGUUGUGGUAUCCUCUGAGCUUAGUAACUUGUUCUAGCUUUCGAGUACACCACUUCCCCUGCCGUAAAACCCUUAAUUUUUAAUGGUUGACCUCGGAUCAGGUAGGAAUACCCGCUGAACUUAAGCAUAUCAAUAAGCGGAGGA
rnacentral:misc_RNA from 1 species